AUUCGAUGCAACGCGAAGAACCUUACCAGGUCUUGACAUCCCUCUGACCGCUCUAGAGAUAGAGUUUUCCUUCGGGACAGAGGUGACAGGUGGUGCAUGGUUGUCGUCAGCUCGUGUCGUGAGAUGUUGGGUUAAGUCCCGCAACGAGCGCAACCCCUAUAUCUAGUUGCCAGCAGUAAGAUGGGGACUCUAGAUAGACUGCCAGUGAUAAACUGGAGGAAGGUGGGGAUGACGUCAAAUCAUCAUGCCCCUUAUGACUUGGGCUACACACGUGCUACAAUGGAUAGGAACAAAGAGAAGCGAACUCGCGAGAGUAAGCAAACCUCACAAAACUAUUCUCAGUUCGGAUUGUAGUCUGCAACUCGACUACAUGAAGCUGGAAUCGCUAGUAAUCGCGAAUCAGAAUGUCGCGGUGAAUACGUUCCCGGGCCUAGUACAC
rnacentral:rRNA from 1 species